UAUCAGCUUUCUUCUUGUUCUUCUUCAACAUACUUUCUUCUUCAUCUUCUUUGCGUCUUUCUUGAUCAUCAAUGAAAAUAAAGGGCUUUUCUUCAACAAUUACAGUUUAAUAGUUUAUUCCCGAUAAAUCUGCUCAAUUUCAUAGAGUCAGGUGUAAAUGCGAUCAUUUUAUAAAGUUCAAAAAGGCAAAAUUGAGUAAGAAGGAGAAAUUUAGACUAAUUUUAUAAUGAUAAAAAUAUAUUUUAUUCCAACUAUUAUCGAAUGACAUAUUUAUUCCAUUCUACAUAUUUUAUUCCAACUUUUUGGCUUUCAAAAAGUUUGACCAAACAAGCAAUGUUCAUAUUUACUUCCUAGCCACCAAAGAUUUAGAAAUGACAUUUUAAUCCUCGAGUGUUCUUCUCUAAGUAGGAAAGGCCUAAAGCUAUUCCGCCACACAAUUGCAACCACUCCCAUAUUCCGCCGUCGUGGUUGGUUGCCGCCAUCGAAGGCAUUAUACUAACUUAUCCGCCUCAUCAGAAUGAUGGAUUACAGAAACAAGCUAGUCUUGGCUCCAAUGGUCCGAGUCGGUACAUUGCCGUUUAGGAUGCUUGCUGCCCAAUAUGGUGCGGACAUAACCUAUGGAGAGGAGAUUAUUGAUCAUAAGAUCAUCAAAUGUGAGCGGCGAGUUAAUGAUGUCUUAGGGACUACUGACAUAGUGGAGAAGGGAACUGACAAUGUUGUUUUCAGAACGUGCCCCGAGGAAAGAAAUCGAGUUGUAUUUCAGAUGGGCACUUCUGAUGCCGUGAGGGCUCUCAAAGCUGCUGAAAUUGUGUGUAAAGAUGUAGCAGCAGUGGACGUAAACAUGGGAUGCCCCAGGUCAUUCUCCGUUAGCGGAGGCAUGGGUGCUGCACUGUUGAGCAAACCAGAGCUCAUCCAUGAUAUUUUGACAACAUUACGGCGGAACUUAGACGUACCAGUAACGUGCAAAAUUAGAUUAUUAAAAUCUCCGCAGGAUACAGUGGAAUUGGCGCGACGUAUUGAGAGGACUGGUGUCUCUGCCCUUGCUGUCCAUGGAAGGAAAGUUGCAGACAGGCCAAGAGAUCCUGCAAAGUGGAAUGAGAUUGCGGAUGUUGCUGCCGCUCUCUCUAUUCCAGUUAUAGCAAAUGGUGAUGUUUUUGAAUAUGAGGAUUUUCAACGCAUUAGAGAUGCAACAGCUAUAUUGUAUAGGUGCUUCAUCUGUGAUGGUUGCAAGAGGAGCCAUUUGGAAUGCCUCUAUAUUCUCUUCCGAGGGAAAAAUACCACGGGAAGAUGUCAAAAGAGAGUAUGUGAGAAAGAGUAUAUUGUGGGAUAACGAUAUCAAAAGUACAAAGCACACCCUGAAGGAAAUGAUAAUGCAAUAUUCUUCCCUUGGGCUCCCGGAGGGGCUGGCAGUAAUUAAAUCAGAUACCUUGGCAGAUAUAGCGAAACUUUACGGUGAAGAAGAAUACUAUGAAUAUGUCUUAGAAAGCCGGAGGAAGCAGAUAACAUAAGAUAAAUAGUUUCACCCUCACUAAGCGGAGAAGUCAAUACACUAAGAUGUCGAUGAAACUAGAUGACCAUUUAUAAUUUAUAAAGCUAGUGGGGGUGUUUGAAGCAAGAGAUAGAGGUGGACUUUGCACAUGAGGUUGUUAAUGAGUUGAAGAAUCACAUAAGUUCUGACUUCUUUCCGAGCUAUGUGACUCUAUACCCGAAUGAUAUCUCUUGUUUGAGUUUAAAGUAACAUUCCGACACCCCUGAAGAAUUCCCUUAACUGCGAAAGUUCAAACAGUAUUCAUUGUAGGCUUUACACUAAAUUGAACUAGUAUAGUUUACUUGCAUAAAACGACGCUAUAGCUAUGUAUGUUUUGGUUGUAAAAGAGGCACCAUUGAUUCAUUGAAGUCUUUGCUUGA